AGAGCAUACGGCGGAUGCCUUGGCGAUAUCUGCCGACGAAGGACGCGACAAGCUGCGAUAAGUCACGGGGAGGUGCAAAUGACCGUUGAUCCGUGAAUUUCCGAAUGGAGCAAUCCGGCUGUGGUUAUGCACAGUCACCCAUGCCACUGAGUAUGGGAGGGAACCGGGCGAACUGAAACAUCUAAGUAGCCCGAGGAGAAGAAAUCAAACGAGAUACCCCAAGUAGCGGCGAGCGAACGGGGCAGAAGCCCAAACCGGAGAAGGAAACUUUUCCGGGGUUGAGGACCGUCAGACGAUAAGGAAGCCCAGCCGAAUCCCCUGGGAAGGGGAGCCGGAGAAUGUGAAAGCCAUGUAGGCGAAGGGCGGAUAAGGACAGACGGCACCAGAGUACCGCGGGACACGAGAAACCCCGUGGGAAGCCGGGGGGACCACCCUCCAAGGCAAAACACAGAUAUCGACCGAUAGCGCAUAGUACCAUGAGGGAAAGGUGAAAAGCACCCCGGGAGGGGAAUGAAAGAGAACCUGAAACCGUAUGUUUACAAGCAGUCGGAGACCGUAUAUAUACCAGGUCGACGGCGUGCCUAUUGAAGAAUGAACCGGCGAGUUAUGAGGUCCAGCAAGGUUAAGCAGGAAAUGCGGAGCCGAAGCGAAAGCGAGUCUUAAUAGGGCGGUAAGUUGGAUUGCAUAGACCCGAAACCACAGUGAUCUACCCAUGUCCAGGCUGAAACACAGGUAAAAAUGUGCGGAGGGCCGAACCUAUAUCCGUUGAAAAGGGUUAGGAUGAGGUGUGGGUAGGGGUGAAAUUCCAAUCGAACGUGGAGAUAGCUGGUUCUCCCCGAAAUAGCUUUAGGGCUAGCCUCGAGGAGAGAUUGCAGGCGGUAGAGCACUGAUCAGGAGAGGGACCUACCCGGUUACCAAACCCAGUCAAACUGCGAAUGGCUGCAAUUAUACUCGGGAGUCAGACUACGACUUAUAAGGGCCGUGGUCAAAAGGGAAACAGCCCAGAUCAUCAGCUAAGGUCCCAAAUGCCGUGCUAAGUGGCGAAGGAUGUGGCGUUUCAUAAACAACCAGGAUGUUGGCUCAGAAGCAGCCACCAUUUAAAGAGUGCGUAAUAGCUCACUGGUCGAGAGACGCUGCGCCGAAAAUGUCCGGGGCUCAAGCACGGAACCGAAGCUAUGGCAUGACAGUAAUGUCAUGGGUAGGGGAGCGUUCUUAUAGGGAAGAAGCAUUACCGUAAGGAGAUGUGGACAUAUAAGAAGUGAGAAUGCCGGUAUGAGUAUCGAAAAGAAAGGUGAGAAUCCUUUCCACCGAAAGCCCGAGGGUUCCUGAGCAACGAUCGUCGACUCAGGGUAAGUCGGGACCUAAGCCGAGGCGGAGACGCAUAGGCGAUGGACAACAGGUUGAAAUUCCUGUACCGGAUGGAGUCAUUUGAGCGAAGGAGCGACGCAGGAGGGCACAUGAUCGCGCGGCUGGAAGAGCGCGUCCAAGUGCGUAUGCGUAGAGGGAGGCAAAUCCCCCUUUACAGAAGCAGAGACAUGAUGGGGAGUUAAAGGAGACUUUGACGAACUCAUGGAUCCCACACUGCCAAGAAAAACUUCUAGCGAGACGAAAUCCGCCCGUACCGUAAACCGACACAGGUAGGCGGGGAGAGAAUCCUAAGGUGCGCGGGAAAACCCUCGUUAAGGAACUCGGCAAAUUGCAUCCGUAACUUCGGGAGAAGGAUGACCCUGAGUAGGCGAAAGGGAGAAACCCCCGGAACAGAAAAGGGUGGCAGAAAAGAGGCCCAAGCAACUGUUUACCAAAAACACAGGUGCCUGCGAAAGCGAAAGCUGAAGUAUAGGUGCUGACGCCUGCCCGGUGCUGGAAGGUUAAGGAGAGAGGUCAGCGAAAGCGAAGCUUUGAACUGAAGCCCCAGUGAACGGCGGCCGUAACUAUAACGGUCCUAAGGUAGCGAAAUUCCUUGUCGGGUAAGUUCCGACCCGCAUGAAAGGCGUAAUGAUUUGGGCACUGUCUCAACGAGGGGCCCGGUGAAAUUGAAAUACCUGUGAAGAUGCAGGUUACCCGCGACUGGACAGAAAGACCCCAUGGAGCUUCACUGCAGCUUGAGAUUGAAUCCCGGUGACAUAUGCACAGGAUAGGUGGGAGGCUAAGAAGUAAUGCCUUUGGGUGUUACAGAGCCGAUGUUGGGAUACCACCCUUAUGUUGCUGAGAUUCUAACACGGAGACUAACAACCUCGUGGACCAUCUCAGGCAGGCGGUUUGACUGGGGCGGUCGCCUCCUAAAAUGUAACGGAGG
rnacentral:rRNA from 1 species